rnacentral:rRNA from 1 species
GAUUAACGCUGGCGGCGUGCCUAACACAUGCAAGUCGAGCGGCAGCGAGUUUUACACUGAAUUCUGGAAGCUUCUAGUUGAAAGAGAAGAUUUAUUCAAGAAUUUUGUGUAAAAUGUCGGCGAGCGGCGGACGGCUGAGUAACGCGUGGGAACGUACCCCAAAGUGAGGGAUAACGCAUCGAAAGGUGUGCUAAUACCGCAUAUGGUCUUCGGAUUAAAGCCUUCGGGCGCUUUGGGAACGGCCUGCGUAAGAUUAGAUAGUUGGUGGGGUAAUGGCCUACCAAGGCGACGUUCUCUAACUGGUAUGAGAGGAUGAUCAGUCAGACUGGAACUGAGACACGGUCCGGACUCCUACGGGAGGCAGCAGUGAGGAAUCGUCCACAAUGGGCGAAAGCCUGAUGGAGCAACGCCGCGUGCAGGAUGAAGGCCUUCGGGUUGUAAACUGCUUUUAUAAGUGAGGAUUAUGACAGUAACUUAUGAAUAAGGAUCGGCUAACUACGUG